GUCGGCGUAGCUCAGUUGGUUAGAGCGUGGGACUCAUAAACCCAAGGUCGGAGGUUCGACUCCUCCCGUCGACA
rnacentral:tRNA from 2 species